GGUCUGACCACAAAUAACUUACUGAGAUGUCACAGCCCCCCACGCCCUUCAGGAGCAGCUUCUGCCGGGAAGUUCCCCCCGGCGGUGCAGGUCUCUUACUCACUGAGGCAAAACCUCGCUGUCGGUCUCGGCAGUGCCGGGUGUUCUGGGCUGGCCCAUAAUGCACGGAAGGUGUGACGAUGGAUCCGCUGCCAGCCGAGCCUCUGGGGUUUCCCUCCGAGUGUGAGUGCGAUGACGUUGGGGAACCUAUUGCGGUUGGAGAUCUGUCAGAGAUGGGAGCUGAGCGUUGGCGUGUUAUCGACAGCAUUGUGGGCAAGAUGAGGAUGGAAAGGAACGCAGGAGCCUUUCUCCUUAGCUACGUCCUUCUGUGCUUUUAACGCUUCGGGUGGACGGGUUAUGUCCUGAGGCAACUUAGCUGCCCCGAACGUUUUGUUCUUGAAUUCGCCUUAGAAUGAGCAUUGUGAUUCCAGCCAGCCACGGCCCUAGGGGCUGUAUCGCUUAAGGACAAUAGAAAUGGUUUCAGCUGACUUUGAGUGAUCCCAUGUUCUCCUUCUCUCUCUCAGCCAGUGACCCUGUCAGAACUGAAGCGGCUGUAGGUGAAGAUGUGCUCCUGCCCUGCAAUGUCAAACGUAGAGACGCUGUCCGUCUUCCACACCCUAUAGUUAACUGGCAGCGGUCAGGGAGUAGUGAAGUUGUGAACAGCUACUACAAUGGCAAGAACCAUCCAGAAUAUCAGUGUGGACAAUAUAAGGGGAGAACGGAGUUCUCUUCUCAGGGAUUGUCCGAGGGCAACGCGUCUCUGCUACUGAAGAAUGUAACCCCUGCUGACUUUGGGAACUACACCUGUCAUGCUAGUUUAUAUGAGAACAGUCCCCAAACUUUACAAACUGUCCUGCUUAUGCAGAAAAAGACCCCAGGUGCAAAUGUUCAGGCAGAUGCAAACGUUCCAGGAGGACAUGAAAAACGAGACCGCAUUCUAAGCAUUCCUGUCCUGUUGAGCGCACUAGUGAUUCUUGCAGAAGGUGCUUAAUUAGUUUCAGCUGGUUUUAAUAAAGUGCACGUGGCAAGUUUUCCA
ensembl:lncRNA